GACGAACGCUGGCGGCGUGCCUAAUACAUGCAAGUCGAGCGAAGUUUUUCUGGUGCUUGCACUAGAAAAACUUAGCGGCGAACGGGUGAGUAACACGUAAAGAACCUGCCUCAUAGACUGGGACAACUAUCGGAAACGAUAGCUAAUACCGGAUAACAGUAUUUCUCGCAUGAGAGAUAUUUAAAAGUUGGUUAUGCUAACACUAUGAGAUGGCUUUGCGGUGCAUUAGCUAGUUGGUGGGGUAAAGGCCCACCAAGGCGACGAUGCAUAGCCGACCUGAGAGGGUGAUCGGCCACACUGGGACUGAGACACGGCCCAGACUCCUACGGGAGGCAGCAGUAGGGAAUCUUCCGCAAUGGGCGAAAGCCUGACGGAGCAACGCCGCGUGAGUGAAGAAGGAUUUCGGUUCGUAAAGCUCUGUUGUUAGGGAAGAAUGGAUAUGUAGUAACUAUACAUGUAAGAGACGGUACCUAACCAGAAAGCCACGGCUAACUACGUG
rnacentral:rRNA from 1 species